rnacentral:rRNA from 1 species
AUUGAACGCUGGCGGCAGGCCUAACACAUGCAAGUCGAGCGAGCGGCGGACGGGUGAGUAAUGUAUGGGGACUGCCCGAUAGAGGGGGAUAACUACUGGAAACGGUGGCUAAUACCGCAUACUAUCGGAUAACCCAUAUGGGAUUAGCUAGUAGGUGGGGUAAAGGCUCACCUAGACGACGAUCUCUAGCUGGUCUGGGAGGAUGAUCAGCCACACGAGGACUGAGACCCGGCCAAGACUCCUACGGAGGCAGCAGUGGGUAAUAUUGCACUAGGGGCGCAAGCAUGAUGCAGCCAUGCCGCGUGUAUGAAUAAGGCCUUAGGGUUGUAAAGUACUGUCAGCGGGGAGGCGUUGCCCGAAGAAGAAGCACCGGCUAACUCCGUGCCAGCAGCCGCGGUAAUUC